AACGUAGGAGGCUAGCGUUAUCCGGAUUUAUUGGGCGUAAAGCGUGUGCAGGCGGUUUAGUAAGUUGGAUGUGAAAGCUCCCGGCUUAACUGGGAGAGGUCGUUCAAAACUACUAGACUAGAGUAUGGGAGAGGGAGGUGGAAUUCCGGGUGUAGUGGUGAAAUGCGUAGAUAUCCGGAGGAACACCAGUGGCGAAAGCGGCCUCCUGGACCAUUACUGACGCUUAAACACGAAAGCUAGGGUAGCAAACGGG
rnacentral:rRNA from 1 species